UCUCGAGUAGUAUAGUGGUGAGUAUCCCCGCCUGUCAUAACCAUAUAUGAUCGCGGGAGACCGGGGUUCAAUUCCCCGCUCGAGAG